CAGCAGCCACGGUAAUACGGAGGGUGCAAGCGUUAAUCGGAAUUACUGGGCGUAAAGCGCACGCAGGCGGUCUGACAAGUCAGAUGUGAAAUCCCCGGGCUUAACCUGGGAACUGCAUUUGAAACUGUCAGGCUGGAGUCUUGUAGAGGGGGGUGGAAUUCCAGGUGUAGCGGUGAAAUGCGUAGAGAUCUGGAGGAAUACCGGUGGCGAAGGCGGCCCCCUGGACAAAGACUGACGCUCAGGUGCGAAAGCGUGGGGAGCAAACAGGAUUAGAGACCCCUGUAGUUCCUGUCUCUUAUAA
rnacentral:rRNA from 1 species